GAUGAACGCUGGCGGCGUGCCUAAUACAUGCAAGUAGAACGCUGAAGGAGGAGCUUGCUCUUCUGGAUGAGUUGCGAACGGGUGAGUAACGCGUAGGUAACCUGCCUGGUAGCGGGGGAUAACUAUUGGAAACGAUAGCUAAUACCGCAUGACAACAGUUAUUGCAUGAUAACUGUUUAAAAGGGGCAACUGCUCCACUACCAGAUGGACCUGCGUUGUAUUAGCUAGUUGGUGAGGUAACGGCUCACCAAGGCGACGAUACAUAGCCGACCUGAGAGGGUGAUCGGCCACACUGGGACUGAGACACGGCCCAGACUCCUACGGGAGGCAGCAGUAGGGAAUCUUCGGCAAUGGACGGAAGUCUGACCGAGCAACGCCGCGUGAGUGAAGAAGGUUUUCGGAUCGUAAAGCUCUGUUGUAAGAGAAGAACGAGCGUGAGAGUGGAAAGUUCACACUGUGACGGUAUCUUACCAGAAAGGGACGGCUAACUACGUG
rnacentral:rRNA from 1 species